rnacentral:RNase_P_RNA from 3 species
CUGGUAAAUCGGGUGAUUGCCCGCCUAAAUAUGAAAUUUUUGGCGGGAGGAAAGUCCGAACACCUACCCGGCCCUUUCUUUAUAGUUUUACUAUAUUGACCGGAUUUCACUUCAGCAAAGAACGUUGUUGCUGAAAACUGAUUUCUGGAAAGAGCUGGGAACAGUAGCGGGUAACGCCCGUCUAAAGUAAUUUAAGAGAUGCGAACAGAGAUGCCAUAAUUUGAAAAAAUUGUGGCGCCCCUUUGGGGCGAGUCUUGGUGGCAACAUCAGGAGUGAAACAGCUAAAUUCUUACUGGGGUGCAAGUACAGCGUCUCAGGCAUUUUUUCAAAAAGUGCUUGGUUCGAAAAGUUAGUACGCUUGAGCUGUUCAGCAAUGAACAGCCCAGAUAAAUAAUCAUCAUUUACCUGCCAACGGCAGGUAAAAACAGAAUUCGGCUUACAGAUUUACCAAAACA